AUAUCAUGAUGUGGACAAUCUCUCAACAUUCCCUUAAAUCUAUCUCAUGAUUCAUAAAGAGAUUCAGAGCUUGUUUGCUUGAAGGUUGUAAUAAGGUUGCGAACGU